AGACCCGAAACCCGGUGAUCUAGCCAUGGGCAGGUUGAAGGUUGGGUAACACUAACUGGAGGACCGAACCGACUAAUGUUGAAAAAUUAGCGGAUGACCUGUGGCUGGGGGUGAAAGGCCAAUCAAACCGGGAGAUAGCUGGUUCUCCCCGAAAGCUAUUUAGGUAGCGCCUCGUGAAUUCAUCUCCGGGGGUAGAGCACUGUUUCGGCUAGGGGGCCAUCCCGGCUUACCAACCCGAUGCAAACUGCGAAUACCGGAGAAUGUUAUCACGGGAGACACACGGCGGGUGCUAACGUCCGUCGUGAAGAGGGAAACAACCCAGACCGCCAGCUAAGGUCCCAAAGUCAUGGUUAAGUGGGAAACGAUGUGGGAAGGCCCAGACAGCCAGGAUGUUGGCUUAGAAGCAGCCAUCAUUUAAAGAAAGCGUAAUAGCUCACUGGUCGAGUCGGCCUGCGCGGAAGAUGUAACGGGGCUAAACCAUGCACCGAAGCUGCGGCAGCGACGCUUAUGCGUUGUUGGGUAGGGGAGCGUUCUGUAAGCCUGUGAAGGUGUGUCGUGAGGCAUGCUGGAGGUAUCAGAAGUGCGAAU
rnacentral:rRNA from 1 species